GGAAAAAAAAAAAAAAGGAAAGAAUGAGUUACUCAAUUGUUAGAGACAAGCAUGGCUCUCAAAAGAUGGAAAAUAGCCCAAAUUCCAAAGAAUAGUAUCUCUUUUCAUCUCUCAACAAAGAUUGUUUCCUAUAAAAAAAGAAAGGAAAAAAAAAAAGAACAUCCUCGCUUGGACAACAAAUUGCCACAUUUUUACCCCAGAAAAAUGUUUUUGUGUUUUAGGCAUACAGCAAAUAGGCCAUCUGAUCAGCAUAGCCCAACCUAGGAAUAUUCAUUUCCUGCUACAUUUAUUUAACAUUACUAGGAAACAGUAGUCAACACCCCAGUUGUUGAGGAAAAGUUAUUUUCCAGCUCAAAAUUUGGUUCUGGAGAAUACAUUAGCAACAUUGUCCACAAUAAAUAAACUUUUCAUAUCUAUUGCUGUUGGUCAGCAUGACAAGACACAUGAUGACAUUUAUACUUCUUUCAAUUUUUAAACCACACCAAAAAGAAAUAUAUCUCCACAACAUACUCUCCUAUAAAUAUGAGCAAAUCUUAAUGACUAAUAGGAAAUAUUUGAAAGUGAUAAAAAAUUACUAUAGAUAUUAACUGCACCGAAGAAGUUAGGAAGGAAGGCAACAUACACAUUGGCAUGCAUUUAGACAUCAAAGAGCAGUUUGGUCGCUUGUUCAGUUUCUUUUUAAUUCUAAUUCUAAUUUAGAAUAUAUAUAUAUAUAUAAAGGAAUUUAUAUGAACUAGAUAAAAUGUUAUUUGCAAAUAGGAACUCUCAGUGCUUAAUGAAUGACCAAGGAUUUUGUGAUGUUGCAGGCUUUUCAACAGUUCACAGGCAUCAAUACAGUUAUGUACUAU
rnacentral:misc_RNA from 1 species